AACCUUCGGGGAACGAUAACGGCGUCGAGCGGCGGACGGGUGAGUAAUGCCUAGGAAAUUGCCCUGAUGUGGGGGAUAACCAUUGGAAACGAUGGCUAAUACCGCAUGAUGCCUACGGGCCAAAGAGGGGGACCUUCGGGCCUCUCGCGUCAGGAUAUGCCUAGGUGGGAUUAGCUAGUUGGUGAGGUAAGGGCUCACCAAGGCGACGAUCCCUAGCUGGUCUGAGAGGAUGAUCAGCCACACUGGAACUGAGACACGGUCCAGACUCCUACGGGAGGCAGCAGUGGGGAAUAUUGCACAAUGGGCGCAAGCCUGAUGCAGCCAUGCCGCGUGUAUGAAGAAGGCCUUCGGGUUGUAAAGUACUUUCAGUCGUGAGGAAGGCGGCGUCGUUAAUAGCGGCGUUGUUUGACGUUAGCGACAGAAGAAGCACCGGCUAACUCCGUGCCAGCAGCCGCGGUAAUACGGAGGGUGCGAGCGUUAAUCGGAAUUACUGGGCGUAAAGCGCAUGCAGGUGGUUUGUUAAGUCAGAUGUG
rnacentral:rRNA from 1 species